CAAGCUUCAGCCUGCUGGCAAGCACUGUAUAGAGGCCUAAUGGGAAUUAGGCAGGGAAGAAAGGUUGCCUGGAUUUAAAAAGGGUGUGAACCUUCCAAGCUCUCAGGGAGCUACAGAAAAAGGAGUAGAGUGUCAGAGGUCAGGUGGGCUGGCAAGGUACUGAGUUGCUAGUGAAACUGAGCAGAGAAUUCAGAAAACUGUGCUCAAGAGCUUUGUAUUCUCCCCAGUUUUCAGUGUGACCUUGGCUGCUUCAGAAAGGCACAACGGAUUCAACAGGAUCAACAGCAGAACGUGCAGCAUUGCAGAUGUAAAGAAACCCUUUCAAAAAAGUCUAAUUAUACAGACCUAAGUCUGAAGUGUCAGAUCUAUAUAUGAACUGAUUAUAUAUUCCAUAUUUAUUACAUAUCUUACAUACAUAUUGUGUUCUGUAUGUGUUGGCAGCCCAAAGCAUUUUAGCUUAACUUCCAAACUUUGAAGAAAUGUUGUUGCUUGGCUGCUGGCCACAAUGAGUAGGGAAGACAAAGUGAUAAUAAACCUUACAGACCGAAACACUGGAUCAUUUCUAGCUUCCAUUAAGGACAAUAUAACUUUAUCAUUGACUCCUUCAACACAGAGGCUGUAAUUGCUAUACCC